GAGCGGUAAGGCCUUUCGGGGUACACGUUCGGCGAACGGGUGAGUAACACGUGGGUGAUCUGCCCUGCACUUCGGGAUAAGCCUGGGAAACUGGGUCUAAUACCGGAUAUGACCUCCUGUCGCAUGGUGGGUGGUGGAAAGAUUUAUCGGUGCAGGAUGGGCCCGCGGCCUAUCAGCUUGUUGGUGGGGUAAUGGCCUACCAAGGCGACGACGGGUAGCCGACCUGAGAGGGUGACCGGCCACACUGGGACUGAGACACGGCCCAGACUCCUACGGGAGGCAGCAGUGGGGAAUAUUGCACAAUGGGCGAAAGCCUGAUGCAGCGACGCCGCGUGAGGGAUGACGGCCUUCGGGUUGUAAACCUCUUUCAGCAGGGACGAAGCGCAAGUGACGGUACCUGCAGAAGAAGCACCGGCUAACUACGUG
rnacentral:rRNA from 1 species